GGGGAUUUAGCUCAGUAGUAGAGCGCUUGCCUAGCAAGCACAAGGCCCUGGGUUCGGUCCCCAGCUCUG
rfam:Rattus norvegicus chromosome 14, whole genome shotgun sequence.